rnacentral:snoRNA from 1 species
AAGACUAUACUUUCAGGGAUCAUUUCUAUAGUUGUUGACUUGAGAAAUGUGUUUCUAGAGAGUUUGGUCUCGCUGCCCACGAUGAAGACUUGAGAUAUUUCCUUCAGAGCGGGAAGUUGUGGGAAGAAUUUGUUUUCUCUCCACUGUUGAUGAACGUUCAGACUUUCUAAAUGAUACUCUGAUGGAGGAAAUACGAUCUGAGUGGA